GACGUAGGUGGCGAACGUUAUCCGGAAUUAUUGGGCGUAAAGAGCUCGUAGGCGGCUUGUCACGUCGGGUGUGAAAGACCGGGGCUUAACCCCGGUUCUGCAUUCGAUACGGGCUGGCUAGAGUGUGGUAGGGGAGAUCGGAAUUCCAGGUGUAGCGGUGAAAUGCGUAGAUAUCUGGAGGAACACCGGUGGCGAAGGCGGCAUCCUGGACCGAGAUUGACGCUGAGGCGCGAAAGCCAGGGGAGCAAACGGG
rnacentral:rRNA from 1 species